GCAUAGAGAGGAACAAAUAUAUACUGAGAGAAACAAAUACGGGAACACAGGAAGAUUCAAGAGGUCCUUUAAUACUUUCCAGUCUUCAUCACCAGCUUUGUAUAGCGCUGUGGGGGAAAAAACUGAGAAUGAAUAAAGGAACACUGCCAUGAAGUGCUGUUCCCUUAUUUGUUUCCCUGAGUA